rnacentral:lncRNA from 1 species
GCUCCCUUCGCCGCGCCUCGCGUGCUAGCGGUGCCCUUGUGAGCCACUGCGUUCUCCAAGGCCAGAACGGGACAGAUGGAGAAAUUGAGAUGAGAGCUCAUCCACAAGAUUACCCAUCAAUGAGCACCAAUAGCAACCAAAUCCACUAGAAGACUGGGAGCUUUUAAGUCAAGAAACUUACAUCAGUAUCAUCAUUCCAAGAAGCGGUAUCCAAGCUGUUUUAUCGAAAGUGCGCAUGGGAGAUAAGACUCUGAGAAUUUAUAGAAACAAACAUUAGAAGGCAGGAAUGUGGAGAGAAGAAAGCUACCUGACAAGGGAAUCUCAGGAUACAAGGAAAACACCAAGCAGAAGCAACUGAUCUGGCAGUGGAAAAAGUAGCUCUCGCGUGUAUUUCAAAGAAGCAACGGUUUUCUGAUUAAGCAGCAUUAUCUUGCAUGUUUUAAUGAGUGACACAAUUACAGUAAAGACUGAAACCAAUUGUCAAGAUGUCAAUGUUGGCUUGGGAUGACUGCAGUAUAAAUCUACUCAUGGAAUUUUACAGAGCAGUAAUAAGAAUAUCAAACAGGUCAUGCACUGUAUUAUCAUUUCAUUGUUAUUUAUGUUUGCCUGGACUUGAUUCAGAGUCUCAGAAACCUCUUAGUCUCAUGACAUUUUUACCUAUUAAAUCAUCAUAUCCUACCAGAAGCCUGUAGAUGAGCCAUUACUUAAAGAAAAUGAAGUUCUAAAAUUAAAUUUGUGUUAUUGUUUAUCUUUGAUUUGUGUAGAGGUCACCACACCUCAUAGCCAUAAAGACACUCAUUAAUCAGAUGAAAAUGAAUGCAUUUAACCAUUCAUUUAUUUUUCAUAAAACCUAUUGAGCAUCUACUAUGUGAUAAACACUGUGAUGACAAUUUCCGGAGAUAUAAAGAAGAUAAAAAAGUGUGUUUUCGAAUUGCUCUUGAUACGACAGAUAAAAUGAUGAACAUGUAAUCAGUGAUGAAAUAUAUUUUAUGUAUGUAAUACUAUGUAUUAGAUACAUAUAUAUUUGUUUUUCUCUGUUCAGGGAAGGCUCUAUGGCAUGAAGCUAUUAUCAUUAUUCAUCAUCUAUUGAAAGGACAUUACUAUGCAUGUCUUCAAGAUUGUACAGUUUAGUUUUUAUAUAAUUGGUGAAGAUAAUUUGCUUUAUACAGGAGAGCUUUCAAACGACAUUUACAUACAUUAACUAAUUUAUCUGUGCUCAAAAUACUUUUCACCUCACAUUUCACAUAAUAAUGCAUAGCAGACAUUCUUUAUCUAGGGGCUUAGCAAAUGCAAGAGGUUGACGUGAGCAGUUCAUUCAUUCAACAACAAAUGCAUUUUGUUGUUAACAAAUAUUAAUAAAUACAUACAUUAAGUCUC